ACACGUAGGGGGCGAGCGUUGUCCGGAAUUACUGGGCGUAAAGGGCGCGUAGGCGGCGAUUUAAGUCUGAUGUGAAACCCCCGGGCUUAACCCUGGGCUUGCAUUAGAAACUGAAUGGCUUGAGGGCAGGAGAGGAAAGCGGAAUUCCCAGUGUAGCGGUGAAAUGCGUAGAUAUUGGGAGGAACACCAGUGGCGAAGGCGGCUUUCUGGACUGCCCCUGACGCUGAGGCGCGAAAGCCAGGGUAGCGAACGGGACUAGAUACCCCGGUAGUCCUGGCCGUAAACGAUGGAUACUAGGUGUGGGAGGUAUCGACCCCUUCCGUGCCGCAGCCAACGCACUAAGUAUCCCGCCUGGGGAGUACGGCCGCAAGGCUGAA
rnacentral:rRNA from 1 species